UCUGAUGUGAAAGCCCACGGCUCAACCGUGGAGGGUCAUUGGAAACUGGGGAACUUGAGUACAGAAGAGGAGAGUGGAAUUCCACGUGUAGCGGUGAAAUGCGUAGAGAUGUGGAGGAACACCAGUGGCGAAGGCGACUCUCUGGUCUGUAACUGACGCUGAGGAGCGAAAGCGUGGGGAGCGAACAGGAUUAGAUACCCUGGUAGUCCACGCCGUAAACGAUGAGUGCUAAGUGUUAGAGGGUUUCCGCCCUUUAGUGCUGCAGCAAACGCAUUAAGCACUCCGCCUGGGGAGUACGGUCGCAAGACUGAAACUCAAAGGAAUUGACGGGGGCCCGCACAAGCGGUGGAGCAUGUGGUUUAAUUCGAAGCAACGCGAAGAACCUUACCAGGUCUUGACAUCCCAUGACAACUCUAGAGAUAGAGCGUUCCCCUUCGGGGGACAUGGUGACAGGUGGUGCAUGGUUGUCGUCAGCUCGUGUCGUGAGAUGUUGGGUUAAGUCCCGCAACGAGCGCAACCCUUGAUCUUAGUUGCCAGCAUUUAGUUGGGCACUCUAAGGUGACUGCCGGUGACAAACCGGAGGAAGGUGGGGAUGACGUCAAAUCAUCAUGCCCCUUAUGACCUGGGCUACACACGUGCUACAAUGGAUGGUACAAAGGGCUGCGAGACUGCGAAGUUAAGCGAAUCCCAUAAAACCAUUCUCAGUUCGGAUUGCAGGCUGCAACUCGCCUGCAUGAA
rnacentral:rRNA from 1 species